GACGAACGCUGGCGGCGUGCUUAACACAUGCAAGUCGAACGAGACGAUUGAAAGCUUGCUUUCGAAAGUCGAGUGGCAAACGGGUGAGUAACGCGUAGACAACCUGCCUUUGAGAUGGGGACAACAGUUCGAGAGGACUGCUAAUACCGAAUGUUGUAUAUUUUCCACAUGGAAGAUAUAUUAAAGAUGGCCUCUAUUUAUAAGCUAUCGCUCAAAGAUGGGUCUGCGUCUGAUUAGCUAGUUGGUGGGGUAACGGCCUACCAAGGCGACGAUCAGUAGCCGGGCUGAGAGGAUGAACGGCCACAUUGGGACGGAGACACGGCCCAGACUCCUACGGGAGGCAGCAGUGGGGAAUCUUCCACAAUGGACGAAAGUCUGAUGGAGCAACGCCGCGUGAGUGAAGAAGGGUUUCGGCUCGUAAAGCUCUGUUGUCGGGGACGAAUGUGCAUUACUUGAAUAAAGUAGUGUAAUGACGGUACCUGACGAGGAAGCCACGGCUAACUACGUGCCAGCAGCCGCAGUAA
rnacentral:rRNA from 1 species